CCCUUAGAUGUUCUGGGCCGCACGCGCGCUACACUGACGAAGUCAGCGAGCAUCUCCUUCGCCGAAAGGUGCGGGGAAUCUUGUGAAACUUUGUCGUGCUGGGGAUUGAUUUUUGAAAUUCUUGAUCAUCAACGAGGAAUUCCUAGUAAGCGCAAGUCAGCAGCUUGCGUUGAUUACGUCCCUGCCCUUUGUACACACCGCCCGUCGCUACUACCGAUUGAGCGAUCCGGUGAAUGUUUUGGACUGGCGUCAGAAGCGGUUCGCUCCUGACACUACGAAAUUUUGUAAACCUUAUCGCUUAGAGGAAGGAAAAGUCGUAACA
rnacentral:rRNA from 1 species